rnacentral:rRNA from 1 species
GGGGAAUAUUGCGCAAUGGGCGAAAGCCUGACGCAGCCAACCCGCGUGUGUGAUGAAGGCCUUCGGGUUGUAAAGCACUGUCGUGAGGGAAGAAGUUCUGACGGUACCUCACAAGAAAGCACCGGCUAACCCCGUGCCAGCAGCCGCGGUAAUACGGGGGGUGCAAGCGUUGCUCGGAAUCACUGGGCGUAAAGCGUCCGCAGGCGGGACGGUCAGUCGAAUGUGAAAGCCCGGGGCUCAACCCCGGAACUGCGUUCGAUACUGCCGUCCUCGAGUUCGGGAGAGGGGAGCGGAAUUCCUGGUGUAGAGGUGAAAUUCGUAGAUAUCAGGAGGAACACCAGUGGCGAAAGCGGCUCCCUGGCCCGAUACUGACGCUCAUGGACGAAAGCGUGGGGAGCAAAC